GUGCUGAUGGCUCAAUGGUAGAGCAUACCUUUUGUAGCUAUUAGCUUGGCAAGAGUUGCAGCUCUAGGUUCAAAUCCUGGUCAGUGCA
rfam:Moniliophthora roreri strain MCA 2952 kmer90.96280, whole genome shotgun sequence.